ensembl:lncRNA
CUCAGAGUAUCCUGCCUUUGGCAAAUCGUGCUGUUAAGACACUGAUCAGAUCAGCUCUGAAAAAGAUCUGAUGUGAUUGGUCAAAAUACCAAUUAGUGGGGGGAAAAAGAUCAGAAUUGGGCUGCCUGUGUAAACGCAUACAUGGUCUGUGAAGAAAUAUCCACAGAUUCAGUUUCAUGCAAUAUGAACUGAAUUGAAUGAUUGUACUUGGGGAAACUACUGAAUCUAAUAUUUAGCCAUUUAACCAAACAUCAGAAACUACAAUGACACAGUUCAACAACAAACGGUCUAUCCUCUAAUACAGGAGGACAAUUUGCUCUCCACCAGUCAUUGAAUAACUGCAUAUCACACUUCCACCUGAGUGCUGAACUGUUCAUAAAUCUUAAACGUGGCCGUAUUUUAAAGUAAUAUUAGAUUGACUCACAGGACAAGGGUGCAGUUUUCUCCUAGCCCAGCACUAAUGGUUAGUGACUUGAGUUAUUAGUGGUGGAUUCUAGGGUCAAUUUGAGGUCAAUUGACUGGUCAGGAACACCUGGUGUCCGUCCUGAAGGUUAUAAAUCAGCGUUCAGGAGGUGUGGCGGCAGGGGAAGAAGGCACACGGUUGAAACCAUGGCACCAAGAAGGAUAAGGAAAAUCGGCAAUCAGACAGAAGGACACGCAGAUGGUCAAAUUAGCAAGGAGAUACGCCAAAAGCAAGGGACGCUUUUUAUUCAACAGUUCGAGAAAGAAGGCUGUUCAUUUUAACGGAUGGCAAUUCGGCAGGUGAAGUCACCAUCGCCAUAAAGACCGAAUCACACGAGAUUCACCAGCCUCUCACAAGGAAGGUCAGUAAAGGUUUCCAAGAAAGCCAGAUCACUUGCCAAUGGCGGCUCAAGCACUGGAAGCCUACGGAGUGCCACAUCCACAAGUACAAAAAUAACCAACUCGCAUUGCCAAAAUCAGUGAUCAAUCUCCACUGACUGGGACGAAACACAGAUCUGUUUUGUGGUCAGCCAGUGAUGACCACCUGUGUUGCUCCCUGUCUGGAUUGUCUCCACAUGUAAUGAUCUCUACAUCCCAUGGAGAGGUGACUUUUCAUAUUGAGGUUGUUGGGCUUUAAGUUAUUUCAAGCAGUCUAAACUAGUCCCAUUUUCUCCCAAGACUUUGUGCCUCUCGGAUGAUACUGUUGAAGAUGUUGACAUCGGGUUACUGGAUGAUAUGGCUGUUCUCUAGAUGCAGAAGUUGAUGGUAAAAUAUAUUCUUGUCAAUUUCUCAUAUUGAAACUAACAAUUUAUCCCCUAAUAUUCUGACAUUUUUCUCAUUUAGAAACUGAUGGACUAUCUUUUAAACAAAGUCAAAGCGACUCAGCCUAUGAAUUAGUCUGCAAUGAUACCAAGACGUCUAACAUUGAGCCACUAAUGCCACCUAUGCAUGUUUUACUUUCAAAUUUAAAAGUUGAUUCAAUAUAGUUCCGAUUUGUAUAUUCAUUAAUAAUCAAUAAACUGACUGGCUUUAUUAAUGUCUACAGUAUUAUGCAAUUUGGUUUCCCCUCAGGUUAUUGAUGUGUCAUUGCAACAUUAAAGGUCCUCAAUGACAUCACCAUUGCCCUUGUUUCUAAGCAAUGUUGUGCUGCUAUUUUUGACUUGGCCAAAGCUUUUGAUAUGGUAGACCAGUGGUUCCCAAACUUUUUAAAGUUCUGUACCCCUUCAAAUAUUAAACCUCCAGCUGCAUACCAGGGUCAGC